CCUACGGGGGGCAGCAGUGGGGAAUAUUGGACAAUGGGGGGAACCCUGAUCCAGCCAUGCCGCGUGUGUGAAGAAGGCCCUCGGGUUGUAAAGCACUUUCAGUGAGGAAGAACGCCUGGUGGUUAAUACCCAUCAGGAAAGACAUCACUCACAGAAGAAGCACGGCUAACUCCGUGCCAGCAGCCGCGGUAAUACGGAGGGUGCGAGCGUUAAUCGGAAUUACUGGGCGUAAAGCGCGCGUAGGUGGCUUGAUAAGCCGGUUGUGAAAGCCCCGGGCUCAACCUGGGAACGGCAUCCGGAACUGUCAAGCUAGAGUGCAGGAGAGGAAGGUAGAAUUCCCGGUGUAGCGGUGAAAUGCGUAGAGAUCGGGAGGAAUACCAGUGGCGAAGGCGGCCUUCUGGACUGACACUGACACUGAGGUGCGAAAGCGUGGGUAGCAAACAGGAUUAGAUACCCUAGUAGUC
rnacentral:rRNA from 1 species